GCCNUGCCGCGUGCAGGAUGACGGUCCUAUGGAUUGUAAACUGCUUUUGUACAGGAAGAAACACUACUUCGUGAAGUAGCUUGACGGUACUGUAAGAAUAAGGAUCGGCUAACUCCGUGCCAGCAGCCGCGGUAAUACGGAGGAUCCAAGCGUUAUCCGGAAUCAUUGGGUUUAAAGGGUCCGUAGGCGGUUUAGUAAGUCAGUGGUGAAAGCCCAUCGCUCAACGGUGGAACGGCCAUUGAUACUGCUAAACUUGAAUUAUUAGGAAGUAACUAGAAUAUGUAGUGUAGCGGUGAAAUGCUUAGAGAUUACAUGGAAUACCAAUUGCGAAGGCAGGUUACUACUAAUAUAUUGACGCUGAUGGACGAAAGCGUGGGUAGCGAACAGGAUUAGAUACCCUGGUAGUCCACGCCGUAAACGAUGGAUACUAGCUGUUGGGCGCAAGUUCAGUGGCUAAGCGAAAGUGAUAAGUAUC
rnacentral:rRNA from 1 species